UCACCGCUCAGGCCCGGCCUGGUGUUGGGGCUCCCGCGGCCUGUCCCGCGGGCUCCUGAAAGAUAGUGGCGGGCUCGCUAGCGACCCUGGGCGGGGUAAAGCCGCUCGCCGGUGGUGUCCUAGCGGGCCUCCGGCCGGAAAACCCCGCCUCUCCCGUCCGCACGGGGUGGUGGUGUCUUUC
rnacentral:misc_RNA from 1 species